GAACAUUGCAGGUCUUGAAAGAUGGUAACUAUAAUUGGUUCGUGACCAGCAUCCAGUCUGUCAUCAAUAAAAACAUAAAGCGCAGUGGAACCACUAAAAAUAAUGACAACCAGAGUUUUGUUCGUAUUUUUGUACAUGUAGAUACACUGUCACAAGAUUCUGUGUUUAUUGUUUCUGUAAUUUCCUGAUUUCUUUUUUUUUUUUGUAAUACUCAUUUAUUUUGCAGUUUAGAUAAACUUUUGUCACAUCUCAGUCAUGUCACUUACAUAAUUAUGAUCAAAUGCCCCGUGAAUGUUUUUCUGUGUGACUUUACUUCCUCCACAUCAUUUUGGAGCAUUUUUUGCCCAUUCUUUCUAACGACGUUGCUUCAUUUUAUUGAAGUUUGCAGGCAUUUGUUUAUGGCUUCACAUUUGACUCUAGAAUAAUUUGGUAUACAGAAGAGUUCACGGUGGACUCUGACUGCGACAUUCCCGUGUCGCGCAAUAAAACAAACCCCAAUUAUUGCCCCUCCACCACUGUGCACUGUGCAAUUUCACUGAGCGGUCUGACUUUGGGGUCAAUUUGCUGGGACAUCCAUUUCUGGGACUACUUUGUCAUUGUGUUAACACACCUGAAUGCUCCAGAUCAUCAAACUGCCAAGCUGUUAAACACGUGUUCACACUUGAUGAUUAGUUAGUUGUUGCUGGAUUGUUGUGGCACUCUUAGCACGAAGAGUGCUUUGCUCUUAAAGGGUUUCUCUUUUUUUGAUUUUUCUUUUUUUCCCUCUUUACAAACUCUGAUCUUUAUGUGUGCGCUCCGAUUUUUUUUUAGAAAAAUCUGAUACAGUUUUAGACUUUUGGCAUCUUGCUUUUUUUGUCCUCUUUUCUGUGCUGAUAUUUAGUUACUUCUGAAUAAAAUCCCAUCAGAGUUUAGUGGGAUUUUAAUGUAGGACACAAGUUCCUGUGAAUCUUUAUCUUGACACUCCAAACAAUUUUUGUUCAAACUCACAUUUGAACAUUUUUAGUUACGUCAGUGUUUAAGUUCAUAGCUCGUGAUGGCCAACAGCAAAUUGUGUUUAAAAAUAUUUAAGACUUUUCUCAGCAUUGGGUACUUGGUUCUUGGUUUUGGAAAAGGGUAACGUACACCUCUAAUCACAACAACGUGUCUCUGUAUUCAGCCCGCAGUGUCAGGUCAGCAGCUUCAGCUCAGGCGUCUUCCCUCAGUGAAAAU
ensembl:lncRNA